rnacentral:rRNA from 2 species
AGCAUAUCAAUAAGCGGAGGAAAAGAAACUAACAAGGAUUCCCCUAGUAACUGCGAGUGAAGCGGGAAAAGCUCAAAUUUAAAAUCUGGCGGUCUUUGACCGUCCGAGUUGUAGUCUGGAGAAGUGCUUUCCGCGCUGGACCGUGUACAAGUCUCUUGGAACAGAGCGUCAUAGAGGGUGAGAAUCCCGUCUUUGACACGGACUACCAGUGCUUUGUGAUGCGCUCUCAAAGAGUCGAGUUGUUUGGGAAUGCAGCUCAAAAUGGGUGGUAAAUUCCAUCUAAAGCUAAAUAUUGGCGAGAGACCGAUAGCGAACAAGUACCGUGAGGGAAAGAUGAAAAGCACUUUGGAAAGAGAGUUAAACAGUACGUGAAAUUGCUGAAAGGGAAACGCUUGAAGUCAGUCGCGUUGGCCAGGACUCAGCCUUGCUUUUGCUUGGUGCACUUUCUGGUUGACGGGCCAGCAUCGAUUUUGACCGCUGGAAAAAGGUUGGGGGAAUGUGGCACCUUCGGGUGUGUUAUAGCCCUCAGUCACAUACGGUGGUUGGGAUCGAGGACCGCAGCACGCCUUUAUGGCCGGGGUUCGCCCACGUUCGUGCUUAGGAUGCUGGCGUAAUGGCUUUAAACGACCCGUCUUGAAACACGGACCAAGGAGUCUAACAUGCCUGCGAGUGUUUGGGUGGAAAACCCGAGCGCGUAAUGAAAGUGAAAGUUGAGAUCCCUGUCGCGGGGAGCAUCGACGCCCGGACCUGAACUUCGGUGAUGGCUCUGCGGUAGAGCAUGUAUGUUGGGACCCGAAAGAUGGUGAACUAUGCCUGAAUAGGGUGAAGCCAGAGGAAACUCUGGUGGAGGCUCGUAGCGAUUCUGACGUGCAAAUCGAUCGUCAAAUUUGGGUAUAGGGGCGAAAGACUAAUCGAA